rnacentral:rRNA from 1 species
UACGAAGGGGGCAAGCGUUGUUCGGAAUUACUGGGCGUAAAGCGCGCGCAGGCGGUUUUUCAAGUCAGAGGGGAAAGCCCGGAGCUCAACUCCGGAACUGCCAUUGAAACUGUAAAACUUGAGGAAGAGAGAGGUGAGUGGAAUUCCCAGUGUAGAGGUGAAAUUCGUAGAUAUUGGGAAGAACACCGGUGGCGAAGGCGGCUCACUGGCUCGUAUCUGACGCUCAGGCGCGACAGCGUGGGGAUCAAACAGG